rnacentral:rRNA from 1 species
ACAAACGACUCUCGGCAACGGAUAUCUCGGCUCACGCAUCGAUGAAGAACGUAGCAAAAUGCGAUACUUGGUGUGAAUUGCAGAAUCCCGUGAACCAUCGAGUUUUUGAACGCAAGUUGCGCCCGAAGCCUUUCGGCCGAGGGCACGUCUGCCUGGGCGUCAC